AUUAUGUAAUAUGCCUCAGGCAGUGGCAGAAACCUAGGCUGAAAUAACCAGCACUACUUGCCAAACACUUUAGAAAGAUUAUGUUUCUUCUCCAUUACAGAAGUGGAACAUAUGGUUCAGGAAUUUACCCUAAAGGCAAACUACAGAGGUUAAGCAUGUGAUGCAGGGGCCAAAAUUGUGAGUUCAAAUGCCAACAUGUUUACUUACUAACUUCAUGACCUCACAAACUUGCUUCAACUUUCUGUAACUUUGUCUGCUUAUCUAUAAAACAAUACGUACCUCAACGUCUGGUUAAAAGUUUCAAUUGGCAUAAUAUAUAUAAAGCUCUUAGAAGACUGCCUGGAACAGUUUGCAGCAAGAUCCUCCCAGGAAAGUGAAGCGGAGAAAAUGGAGGUAGAAACUAUUCUCCUCAUUAAACUACCUGCCCUCUGUAAUGUAGCUCUUCUGUGCUGCAGAAAUUGAUACUACACAAGAAAAGAAAUGAUGGGAGAAUAGUGAAGAAGAGAAGAACUGGCCAGGUAGCAACAUAUAAGAGGCCAAGGGCCGGGCGCAGUGGCUCACACCUGUAAUCCAAACACUUUGGGAGGCCAAGGCGG
rnacentral:lncRNA from 1 species